rnacentral:rRNA from 1 species
GACGAACGCUGGCGGCGCGCCUAACACAUGCAAGUCGAACGGAGUUAUAUUGGCAGAAGUUUUCGGACGGACGCGGAUAUAACUUAGUGGCGAACGGGUGAGUAACACGUGAGCAACCUGCCCUUCAGAGGGGGACAACAGUUGGAAACGACUGCUAAUACCGCAUAAGACCACGGUGUGGCAUCACACAGAGGUCAAAGGAGAAAUCCGCUGAAGGAUGGGCUCGCGUCCAAUUAGCUAGAUGGUGAGGUAACGGCCCACCAUGGCGACGAUUGGUAGCCGGACUGAGAGGUUGAUCGGCCACAUUGGGACUGAGACACGGCCCAGACUCCUACGGGAGGCAGCAGUGGGGAAUAUUGCACAAUGGAGGAAACUCUGAUGCAGCGACGCCGCGUGAGGGAAGAAGGUCUUCGGAUUGUAAACCUCUGUUGUC